rnacentral:rRNA from 1 species
AUUGAACGCUGGCGGCAUGCCUUACACAUGCAAGUCGAACGGUAACAGGUUAAGCUGACGAGUGGCGAACGGGUGAGUAAUACAUCGGAACGUGCCCAGUAGUGGGGGAUAGCCCGGCGAAAGCCGGAUUAAUACCGCAUACGACCUAAGGGUGAAAGGGGGGGAUCGCAAGACCUCUCGCUAUUGGAGCGGCCGAUGUCAGAUUAGCUAGUUGGUGGGGUAAAAGCUCACCAAGGCGACGAUCUGUAGCUGGUCUGAGAGGACGACCAGCCACACUGGGACUGAGGCACGGCCCAGACUCCUACGGGAGGCAGCAGUGGGGAAUUUUGGACAAUGGGCGCAAGCCUGAUCCAGCCAUGCCGCGUGCGGGAAGAAGGCCUUCGGGUUGUAAACCGCUUUUGUCAGGGAAGAAAUCCUUUGGGUUAAUACCUCGGGGGGAUGACGGUACCUGAAGAAUAAGCACCGGCUAACUACGUG